CUUCACCACGCCGUAUCCUCUGUCAUGACCACGAAACACUCUAAAGUAUGUUUGGUUGCCAAGAAACUGAAAAAACAAAAACGAAAAAGAAAAAGAAGAAGAAAACCCCAUCUCUUUCUAGUUUUACUCAAGAGGAUGGGGUAAAACCCGACAACAACAACAAUAAUAAUACUAAAAAAACACAACAAUUUAAUACAGCAGACUUAAAAUUCUUCACUUAUUUCCCACCUACAUCUUCAAUUUUCUUUUCCUCACGUUUUCUCAGCAACCAAAAAAAAAAAAAGAGACAGUCAACAAAUCAAUAAAGACCCACAAUUUUUUUCAGUACCCAAAAGAGAAAAGAAAGAGAAAAACUCAAAAAGGGUAGGAAAGGAAGGCUAAAAAACUUGUGAAGCAGAUGAGUUUGAUGUUAGCUUGGGCGCGUUCAGCGAAGAGCUCAGCGCUUUCAGGGUUUUGCUCGAUGGCCUGGAAGUAGAGCUCGGCUGCUAGCUCGAAGUGGUCGUUGAUGUAGGCUUCCUUGGCCUUAAUUUCCAGAUCGGACGCCAUGGAUGGCUUGCACACAGAGAGAGCGAGAGAGAGAGAUGGGAAGAGUCUAGAGAAAGAGGAAAGGAAAUCAGCGUGAUUAUUAUUAUUUUUUUUUUGAAAUCGUUCUGUUUUUAAGUGAUGGAUGACGUGGCAAAAGGCUAUUGGAUGGCGUAAAACAAGUGUUUUACGCCACAGCCUGAUCCAAUGUUUUCUCUAAAAGAAAUCACUAUCUUUUCUUGGCGGCAACCAAACACAAGAUUAGAGAGAAAACUUUACCUUGCUCAUUGAUAUGAACUAUGAAGGAACAAAAGCAAAAGGUCUCGUCUCCUCUGUUCUCGGCAUUGCAAGGUAAGGCCCUAUUAGAAAUUGUAUUGUAUAAUAGUCUUUGUAUUUUUUGUACAUUUAUUGUGGAAUCUCCUUCAUUCGAGUCUCUACUAGACCGUUAUCAUAUUCUCCAUCUUCAACCAAUGGUUGAUAUUCGAUCUAGGGCUUGGAGGAGUUCUUCAAUCGUUGGACUGAUUGUGGAAGAUUUAUGGUCUGUGAGUUUUCUGACUAUUCAAAGAACAGGUUUUGCUUCGUCUUCCUCUUAUUUUUCUUUAACCUUCCUUGGAGAUUGGAUGUUAGCCAUUUUGAAGAUCAUUCUUUUGAUAAAUUGCCAAAGAGAAUGCUUGGUGCUGUUUCUCCACUCAGCAAACUAUGACCUGAACAUAUGUGAUUUUGGGCCAGCAUGUUAUUGAUGCUUGAAGGUCCUAGUGUGGAGAAAAUUAUGUGAGUUUGUUUUUCCUGAGAUUUGAAGCAUGCCCCUUUGGUUUUUAACUCAUUUCUAAUCUAUAACGGGUCUUGAUCACAACAUGGUUCUGAGCUUCAAUUCUUUUGGCUUGGCUCUUGUGGUCAGUUUUAUGAGAUUGUGACAUCAAGCUGCCCUCCACAUUGGUAUGGUGCUACAGAUUUGGAAAGAGAUUCUCAUCUUUUCGCUGUGCAUUUUCCUGCACUUACUGCAUCUGUUGUGAGGUUCACAGGGGCCGGUGGUUGCUUGGUUGUUGGGACGCCUACUUCUCUUUCUGCAAAUGUGGAUGUUGCACUUUGUUUUUGCUAUGGUGGUUUACUCCGUUUGCAGCUGGGUUUCAUUGGUUUCUGUUGCCAUUGGUAUUGGCAUGUCUUCUAAGAAUUUGAUGCCAGAUUUUAGACUUAUGGUUUGCUACCUCACUGCAUUUGAAAGGUUCUGUCAAUCCAUGUUUAGUACUCUAGGCACUCUACUCUGUUUAGGAGCUAUGGUACUUGUCUAUUUUAGAGCCCUGUUGCUCAUCAUAUUUUUGGAGCAGUGGGGCUCACCUUUACGCAGAAAGUUCUGCAUCAUUUCUGAUCUUAGUAGAAAGUUCUGCAUUGUUUCCGGUUUCUGCAGCAAGUUCUGUGUUGCUUACGGAUUUGUUUCCGGUUUUGUUGUUCUCCAUUGAUGUGUUGGUGUUUGCCGGCAAUACUUUGUUGGGUCUAUUGUUCUCCAGCCAGUGUUGGUGUCUUUGCAGCUGUCAUUCCGGUUUCCAUCAUUGCCCUUUUUUGGCAUCUUUUGUCUGCAUCAGUGGCGCCUCACUGGCACCUUCCCGUUGCACUUGAUCAUGGCAUCUUGGAGCUCACAUUGAGCCUUUUACUCUGCUAUGCAGGAUUUCUUCUUCUUCAUCUAGGUUCAUGUGUGUACACUCGAUCUUGACUCUUGAGGGGGCCUAUUAGAAUUUGUAUUGUGGAUUUGUCUUUGUAUUUUGUACCUUCUACUUUAGUCUACACAUUUUUCAUAUUUUCCAAAUGUGAUUUUUUUAAUUAGUUAGGAAUUACCGAAUUAGUUAGUUUGUUAGUGAUAUUUUCUUAGGCUAUAUAAGAGUGCUUUGAUGUAAUUUACACACAUUGAUAAUACAAGCUAGGCUGCACGGACACCGACACGGAUACGGUGUACAGCAAUUUUUUAAAAACAAGGGUAUGACAUGUCUAGGGUAUGACGAUUACUUAAUUAAUUUAUAUUUAUAUUUAGGUAUUUUUUAAAUUUUUUUUAGAUAUAAUUUAUUUUUAUUUUAGAAUUUAAAUUAACUAAGAACAGCAAAGAAGUACAAUAUCACUCAUAAAAUAGCAAAUACAAAACAACAAAACAAUUAGUCAUUUACUAAACCCAUAUAGAAAAACCCAUAAAAUUAGAAAUAGUCAAUUACUAAACAACAAUGUCAACAAAACAAAUAGUUAAAUUACUAAACCUAUAAUAGAAAAUGUAGAAGGCUAAAGUAGUAAAACCAAUAAAAGAAAACGUGUAAGGAAUUGUACUUGAUUUGUUGACCCCUUGUACACUUCUUGUGUACUUGACCCUUUUUGAUAUCAAUAAAACUUAUUACUUAUCAACAAAAAAAAAAAAAAAAAAAAAAAAAGUUUAAGGCAAAAUUGCAAAAAUGAUAAAACCCAACCAUAAAAAGAAGAGAAAAGAACUGAGAAAGAUGGUGGGAAAUUAACCCUGUUUGCCAAACAGUAUAAUUAGUAGGCACUGUUUUCAAAUUAUAUUUUUUACUAGCAUCUCGAGUCUAAGAGACUUGAUUUAGGGCCUAUAAAUCAAGUCUCAAGGACUCGAUUUUCAUUGGUUGAUCACAUUUGACGUGGCAUUUUUUUCACGUGGCGACCACCUGGAAAUCGAGUCUCUAAAACUCGAUUUAUAAGCACCCUUUAAAAAACAAGUAUAAUGUUUUAUAAGCACACCCACCUUCUCUUCCUCUCUCUUUCUCUGUUUUCCAAUUCCCAAAUUCUCAAGUCCAACAAACAAACACAAAGUUAACAACCAUGUCCUCCACCACAUCUCCCCCAAUUCUCCCAAUCUCAAACACCACCGCCACUACCACCACCACCAAUUGCCACCCCAUCUUUUCGCAACUUCCUUAGCAACAUAACCGAAUCGAUCCGCAACAACCUCGCCUAGCGCCGCCCGUGGUCCGAGCUCGUCGACCCAGGCCGCACAGCCUAGGUCGUGCUGGCCUAGGUCAGUUUGAUUUGAUUUUGUUCUUGGGUUUUUUGGGACUUUGGAAGUUUGAGAAAGGAAAGUGGGAGAAGAACUGGGUCUGGGUCUCCAGACACUUGAAAAUAUUUGUACUAUAAAUGUUGCAGAUGUAAAUUGAGUCUUAGAGACUCGAUUUACAGGUGAACGUCACGUGGAAAAAGUGCCAACUCAAACCCGAUCAGAACAUAAAAACCGACCCUCAAAAACUCGAUUUAUAGUCCAAAAUCGAGUCUCUUAGUCUUGAGAUGCUAGUUAAAAAUAUAGUUUGAAAAUGUGGCCUACUAAUUAUAAUAUUUGAAAAUCAGGGUUAAUUUCCUAUUUUGGCCGAGAAAGAAAGACUGAAAGAGAGAGAGAAAUCGAAACCUGGAAUUUUUUUUCCAUUUUGCCUUAAAUUUUUAACAAUUUUGUUAGUGGUGAUGUUUGCAAAACAAUAUAGAAAAAUAGCAUCUCGAGUUUUCCAGAUCGUUCUUCUUCUUCCUUUAGAUCUGGUUCUUCGGUUCUUCAAAUUGUCUUCAUCUUCAUGCGUUUUCCAGAUCGAUUCUUCAAAUCUUCUUUAGAUCGUUCUUCUUCUUCCUUCGAAUCUGGUUCUUUAAUUUUUCAAAUCGUCUUCAUCUUCAUGCUUUUUCCAGAUCGAUUCUUUGGAUUGUCUUCGAAUCUUCAUGCAUUUUCUAGAUCGGUUCUUCAGAUCGUCUUCAUCUUCAUCUUUGUUCUUCAGAUACUUCUAUAGAACUCGAGUUUGAGAAACUCGAGUUCCACGUGGAUGAAUUACUCCACCUCAACACUAGAACUUGAGUCCUUGAGGCUCAAUUUUGUCACCGAACUCGAGUUUCACAGAUUCAAGAUACUAGUUUCCUAAAUAGUUUCAAAACCUUGCUAACUAAUGAUAUUCUCUCCCAAAAUUAUGCUAGCUUGCAAAUUACCUCUCGAAACCUAAAGGCAAGAGAAACUUCGUUCUAUGACGGAGGGAAAGAGAGGGAGCUUAAGGGUCGCUGGCGGGGGUUCUUUUGUCGCCGAUCUACGGUGGAGUGACUUGCUCAACAUCGACAAGGCAAGAACAAAGCAAAGAGAGGCGCUGAGGGGCUUCGGUGCAAGAGAAGGAAGAACUGAGAAGCAGAUGUCUUUUAGGGCUUUUAGUUGAUUAUUACGCUCAAACCAGGAUCAACGAAUUUAAAAAUGGAUGAGACUAUGAAGCAAUUCCAAGAGGGCUUAAUGGAGCUUGAAACUGAAGUUGAGCAUCUUCUUUUAGCUCACCAUCAGCUAGUUGAAAAUGAUAGAGUGAGGAAUGGGAAUAGGGAGGCACUUAUUGCAUUGAGGAAGAGGGCUCAGACUACAAAAACUAGCGUUCCAUCUCCUUUUGAGUCAAUAAUGAGAGAUAUUGGGGAUCCCGAAUCCAGGCCCUUGAUGGAGGUAUGUACCACAUGUGGCUACCAUGACUCUAAUGAGCGGACAUGGAUGAUGUUCCCCAGGACUGAUCUUAUUGAUUUGAAGAAAAUGAAGAUUUACUCAAAUAAAGAGACAUGAAGCAGCUGAAAAAGGUUUUGAGCUGAACACUUGGGCUGAAAAAGGGCAAUACGAAGUGGCUAAAGGCAGAGAAGAAAGGCAGGAAGAAAAGAAACAAAAAGAAGGUGGCGUUGAAGUUGAACAGAGAUUUUUGGGCUGAACUGAAAAAGUAUUUUGGGUUGAAGAAAAAAACGUUUUGGGCUGAAUGUAAUAUUUUUGGGCUGAACCAGAAAAGAAUAAAGCAGAAAAAAGAAGAAGAAAGAGUGGCUGAACUGAAGCAAAAACGUUUGGACUGAAAAGCUGAAAAACGUUUGGGCUUUUUGGGCUGUGUUAGGCUGCAACAAGUAAAGGACUGGACUUUAAAAACGUAGGGCAAAAAGAAAAAGCAGAAAGAACGCUGAAGGAAAAGAGAAGGCAGCCGAAACAGAAAGAAAGAAAGAGGGCUGAACAGUAAAGAAGAAAGGUGUGCUGAAGAGGAAAGAGAGGGCUGGAACAGAGAAUUUUUCAGCAUUUAUUUUCUUUCCAAUCUUCUCAGAAAAAAUUAUUGUGAACUCGUUUGUGUUGGAUUUAAUUUUUAGCAUGAACUAAACUUUCUUUAUUCUAGAAAAACGAUGUAAUCUAGUUUUGAACUAU